rnacentral:rRNA from 1 species
GAUGAACGCUGACAGAAUGCUUAACACAUGCAAGUCAACUUGAACUUCGGUUUGGGUGGCGGACGGGUGAGUAACGCGUAAAGAACUUGCCUCACAGAUAGGGACAACAUUUGGAAACGAAUGCUAAUACCUGAUAUUAUGAUUUUAGGGCAUCCUAGGAUUAUGAAAGCUAUAUGCGCUGUGAGAGAGCUUUGCGUCCCAUUAGCUAGUUGGAGAGGUAACAGCUCACCAAGGCGAUGAUGGGUAGCCGGCCUGAGAGGGUGAUCGGCCACAAGGGGACUGAGACACGGCCCUUACUCCUACGGGAGGCAGCAGUGGGGAAUAUUGGACAAUGGACCAAGAGUCUGAUCCAGCAAUUCUGUGUGCACGAUGAAGUUUUUCGGAAUGUAAAGUGCUUUCAGUUGGGAAGAAAAAAAUGACGGUACCAACAGAAGAAGUGACGGCUAAAUACGUGCCAGCAGCCGCGGUAAUACGUAUGUCACAAGCGUUAUCCGGAUUUAUUGGGCGUAAAGCGCGUCUAGGUGGUUAUGUAAGUCUGAUGUGAAAAUGCAGGGCUCAACUCUGUAUUGCGUUGGAAACUGUGUAACUAGAGUACUGGAGAGGUAAGCGGAACUACAAGUGUAGAGGUGAAAUUCGUAGAUAUUUGUAGGAAUGCCGAUGGGGAAGCCAGCUUACUGGACAGAUACUGACGCUGAAGCGCGAAAGCGUGGGUAGCAAACAGG